rnacentral:tRNA from 1 species
GCCGGGGUGGUGGAAUGGCAGACACAGAGCACUCAAAAUGCUCCGCCCGCAAGGGCGUGCGGGUUCGAGUCCCGCCCUCGGCACCA